UAAGGCUCUUCAAAGGAUAAUUGGGCCUUUUCAGCAGCAGCUGUACUCACUGAUGUACUCAUAAAGAGGAAUCACUACUUGGAGAAAUUCUUCAGGAUACAAUACAGUACAGUUUUAAUGUAUCUGAAAGCCACAGACAUUUACAUGCAAACCAGCCAGAAUGGGGUAGGAGAGUAGUCACAUUGUGAGACCUGUGAAAGCUGCUUUUGUGUAUUUAGCUGAUUGUUUGCCUCUGUCUACAGCCAAUGAUGUGCACUCGUCCUCAGGACCCAAGGAGUACCUUGGAAUGCUGCAGUACAAGAGAGAAGACGAGGCCAAGCUCAUUCAGAACCUCAUUCUUGACUUGAAGCCCCGUGGCGUGGUGGUGAACAUGAUCCCCGGGCUGCCGGCUCAUAUCCUGUUCAUGUGUGUGCGCUACGCAGACUCUCUGAAUGAUGCCAACAUGCUGAAGUCCCUCAUGAACAGCACCAUUAAUGGCAUCAAGCAGGUGGUUAAGGAACAUUUAGAAGACUUUGAAAUGCUGUCCUUUUGGCUUUCCAACACUUGUCAUUUUCUCAAUUGCCUGAAGCAGUACAGCGGAGAAGAGGAAUUCAUGAAGCAUAGUAGUCCACAGCAGAAUAAGAAUUGCUUGAACAAUUUUGACCUUUCAGAAUACAGACAGAUUCUCAGUGAUGUGGCUAUACGAAUAUAUCAUCAAUUUAUUAUCAUAAUGGAAAAGAAUAUCCAACCGAUAAUAGUUCCGGGAAUGCUGGAGUAUGAGAGCCUGCAGGGCAUUUCCGGCCUGAAGCCCACAGGCUUCCGGAAGCGCUCCUCCAGCAUAGACGACACGGACGGCUA
rnacentral:sRNA from 1 species